rnacentral:rRNA from 1 species
AUUGAACGCUGGCGGCAUGCUUUACACAUGCAAGUCGAACGGUAACAGGGAGCUUGCUCCGCUGACGAGUGGCGAACGGGUGAGUAAUGCGUCGGAACGUGCGGAGUAGUGGGGGAUAACGCAGCGAAAGUUGUGCUAAUACCGCAUACGUACUGAGGUAGAAAGUGGGGGACCUUCGGGCCUCACGCUAUUCGAGCGGCCGACGUCUGAUUAGCUAGUAGGUGAGGUAAAGGCUCGCCUAGGCGACGAUCAGUAGCGGGUCUGAGAGGAUGAUCCGCCACACUGGGACUGAGACACGGCCCAGACUCCUACGGGAGGCAGCAGUGGGGAAUUUUGGACAAUGGGCGAAAGCCUGAUCCAGCCAUGCCGCGUGUCUGAAGAAGGCCUUCGGGUUGUAAAGGACUUUUGUCGGGGAGGAAAUCCCCAGCGCUAAUACCGCUGGGGGAUGACAGUACCUGAAGAAUAAGCACCGGCUAACUACGUGCCAGCAGCCGCGGUAAUAC